rnacentral:rRNA from 1 species
GACGAACGCUGGUGGCGUGCUUAACACAUGCAAGUCGAGCGGUAAGGCCCUUUCGGGGGUACACGAGCGGCGAACGGGUGAGUAACACGUGGGUGACCUGCCCUUAGCUCUGGGAUAAGCCUGGGAAACUGGGUCUAAUACCGGAUAUGACUCCAUGACGCAUGUUGUGGGGUGGAAAGCCUUGUGCGGCUAGGGAUGGGCCCGCGGCCUAUCAGCUUGUUGGUGGGGUGAUGGCCUACCAAGGCGACGACGGGUAGCCGGCCUGAGAGGGCGACCGGCCACACUGGGACUGAGACACGGCCCAGACUCCUACGGGAGGCAGCAGUGGGGAAUCUUGCGCAAUGGGCGAAAGCCUGACGCAGCGACGCCGCGUGGGGAUGACGGCCUC